rnacentral:rRNA from 1 species
UACAUAGGUCCCAAGCGUUACUGAGAAUCACUGGGCUUAAAGGGUGCGUAGGUGGUCCGUUAAGUUCGUUGUGAAAUCCCUGGGCUCAACCCAGGAACUGCUUCGAAUACUGGCGGACUUGAGUCCGGUAGGGGUCACUGGAACUGACGGUGGAGCGGUGAAAUGCGUAGAUAUCGUCAGGAACGCCGGUGGUGAAGACGGGUGACUUGGCCGGUUCUGACACUGAGGCACGAAAGCGUGGGGAGCGAACGGG